rnacentral:rRNA from 1 species
GAUGAACGCUGGCGGCGUGCCUAAUACAUGCAAGUCGAGCGAACAGACGAGGAGCUUGCUCCUCUGACGUUAGCGGCGGACGGGUGAGUAACACGUGGAUAACCUACCUAUAAGACUGGGAUAACUUCGGGAAACCGGAGCUAAUACCGGAUAAUAUAUUGAACCGCAUGGUUCAAUAGUGAAAGACGGUUUUGCUGUCACUUAUAGAUGGAUCCGCGCCGCAUUAGCUAGUUGGUAAGGUAAUGGCUUACCAAGGCAACGAUGCGUAGCCGACCUGAGAGGGUGAUCGGCCACACUGGAACUGAGACACGGUCCAGACUCCUACGGGAGGCAGCAGUAGGGAAUCUUCCGCAAUGGGCGAAAGCCUGACGGAGCAACGCCGCGUGAGUGAUGUAGGUCUUCGGAUCGUAAAACUCUGUUAUUAGGGAAGAACAAAUGUGUAAGUAACUAUGCACGUCUUGACGGUACCUAAUCAGAAAGCCACGGCUAACUACGUG